AGUCUCCAACCAAGCCCAACAAAACAACUCGGCAUGGAAGGACAGUCACUUGUAGUAAUUGCAAGCAAAUUGGACAUAAUCGUGGGACUUGUAAAAAUCAAUCUUAUGUGGUUGAAGGUGCAAAACGCAAACGUGGAAGACCUCGGAAGAUACCUCUUGAAAGUGAAAGGAACCCAAAUCCACCAAAAAGGCAAAGAACAACACAAUCACAAUCUUCCACUCCAGCACCUGCCGCUACAUCAACAUUCCCACUAUCAUCUAGUGCUCCUUCACCUGCAUUUUCACAUGAAGGGACAGCUACUGCACCACGACGUGGCCGUCCACCUGGACGAGGUCGUGGUCGUCCUCCAGUCCGAAGACAGCCAUCUAUCCCAAGGGGAAUUGGGAUGUACAUAUGCCCUUUCACAGAUCGAGUAUUUGAUGUAAGGGGAAACAGAGUACGAGAUCUUGGAGGUGCUCCGGCUUAUAACACAUCUCAAGGACCACGUCAACUCUAGUAGUAUUACCAUUUCGUCUUUUGGAUUCUAUGUUGAAUUUUAAUUAUCUCUUGCAAUUGUUUUUGGGUUGGUAAACUUUACUUAUGAACGUUUGGAUUGCAUAUAUGACAAUCUCCUCGUCUCUUUAA